GACGUAGGGGCGAGCGUUGUCCGGAAUUACUGGGCGCAAAGAGCACGCAGGCGGGAACUUAAGUCAGGUGUGAAAGACCGUGGCUCAACCACGGGGUGGCAUUUGAAACUGGGUUUCUUGAGGGCAGGAGAGGAAAGCAGAAUUCCUGGUGUAGCGGUGAAAUGCGUAGAAACCAGGAGGAAUACCAGUGGCGAAGGCGGCUCUCUGGACUGUAACUGACGCUGAGGCACGAAAGCGUGGGGAGCAAACAGGAUUAGAUACCCUGGUAGUCCCU
rnacentral:rRNA from 1 species